CAGAGAAUCAUUUCACAGGUUCACCAUCAGUAGAAUCACCACGAUUCAACUGACAGAGUUCCCUGAGGACUUAACUGAAAUUGGGCUAACUACAAUUGGGAUCGGCCAACUGCAUACUAGGAUCAUAUCCUUCAACUAAGGAAAUGUGGGGGAAAAUCACUGCUAUGGUCAUUGUGAUUCUUGCAUUCGCUGCAAUUGGAGCUACACAGUCAAAUACUCUGGGAACAACAAGACUAACAACAAAUGGAGCAACACAAUCAAUCACAAAAGAAGCAACAGAAUCAACUGCAGCUGUAGCAACACAAUCAACUACAAACAGUGUAACACAAUCAAAUACAAA